rnacentral:rRNA from 1 species
AUUGAACGCUGGCGGCAGGCUUAACACAUGCAAGUCGAGCGGGGUGAUGGUGCUUGCACUAUCAUUUAGCGGCGGACGGGUGAGUAAUGCUUAGGAAUCUGCCUAUUAGUGGGGGACAACAUCUCGAAAGGGAUGCUAAUACCGCAUACGUCCUACGGGAGAAAGCAGGGGAUCACUUGUGACCUUGCGCUAAUAGAUGAGACUAAGUCGGAUUAGCUAGUUGGUGGGGUAAAGGCCUACCAAGGCGACGACCUGUAGCGGGUCUGCGAGGAUGAUCCGCCACACUGGGACUGAGACACGGCCCAGACUCCUACGGGAGGCAGCAGUGGGGAAUAUUGGACAAUGGGGGGAACCCUGAUCCAGCCAUGCCGCGUGUGUGAAGAAGGCCUUAUGGUUGUAAAGCACUUUAAGCGAGGAGGAGGCUCUUUUGGUUAAUACCCAAGAUGAGUGGACGUUACUCGCAGAAUAAGCACCGGCUAACUCUGUGCCAGCAGCCGCGGUAA